CAGAGGUGUAGAGCAAAGUAUAGCAAAGAUGAUUCACGAUAGGAGUGAGAGAGACAGGGUAGUUGUCAUGGAGGACUUCAACUUUCCAAAUAUUGACUGGGAACACUAUAGUAC